GAAAUCUGGCGUCUUUGGCGUCCGAGUUGUAAUUUGAAGAAGGUAUCUUUGGGCCCGGCUCUUGUCUAUGUUCCUUGGAACAGGACGUCACAGAGGGUGAGAAUCCCGUGCGAUGAGAUGACCCGGGUCUGUGUAAAGUUCCUUCGACGAGUCGAGUUGUUUGGGAAUGCAGCUCUAAGUGGGUGGUAAAUUCCAUCUAAAGCUAAAUAUUGGCGAGAGACCGAUAGCGAACAAGUACAGUGAUGGAAAGAUGAAAAGAACUUUGAAAAGAGAGUGAAAAAGUACGUGAAAUUGUUGAAAGGGAAGGGCUUGAGAUCAGACUUGGUAUUUUGCAUGUUGCUCUCUCGGGGGCGGCCGCUGCGGUUUACCGGGCCAGCAUCGGUUUGGAGCGGCAGGAUAAUGGCGGAGGAAUGUGGCACGGCUUCUGCUGUGUGUUAUAGCCUCUGACGAUACUGCCAGCCUAGACCGAGGACUGCGGUUUUUACCUAGGAUGUUGGCAUAAUGAUCUUAAGUCGCCCGUCUUG
rnacentral:rRNA from 1 species